rnacentral:rRNA from 1 species
GACGAACGCUGGCGGCGUGCUUAACACAUGCAAGUCGAGCGGAAAGGCCCCUUCGGGGGUACUCGAGCGGCGAACGGGUGAGUAACACGUGGGUAAUCAACCCCUGACAUCGGGAUACCCCGGGGAAACCCGGAUCAAUACCGGAUAAGGUGCGGAGGCGCAGGCCGCCGUACCAAAGGUAGCUUCGGCUUCCGGUCAGGGACGCGCCCGCGGCCCAUUAGCUUGUUGGUGGGGUAAUGGCCCACCAAGGCGACGAUGGGUAGCUGGUCUGAGAGGACGAUCAGCCAAACUGGGACUGAGACACGGCCCAGACUCCUACGGGAGGCAGCAGUGGGGAAUCUUGCGCAAUGGGCGGAAGCCUGACGCAGCAACGCCGCGUGCGGGAAGAAGGCCUUAGGGUCGUAAACCGCUUUCAGGGGGGACGAAGCUUCCGGGGUGAAUAGCCUACGGGGUGACGGUACUCCCAGAAGAAGGUCCGGCUAACUACGUGCCAGCAGCCGCCGUAA